AAUCGGAGAGCUCUCUUUGGGCUUUCCGAAAAGGUAUCACAUGCCAAGUUUGGCUUCACGGUAUAAAAGUUAUAGAGUCAUACAUUUUUAACAAAAAAAAACUAGAAAAACAGAAAAAAAGAGGGAUGCAAUACGAGGACUUUCCAGGAGGUCACCCAUCCUAGUACAACUCUCGCCGAAGCACGCUUAACUGCGGUGUUCAGAUGGGAUCUGGUGCAUUAGUGCUGGUAUGAUGGCAUUUGUUACUACAUGCAAUGCAAUCGUAUCUAUUCUUUUGUAAAGACUUUAUGAUCCAUUUGCCGUGGGUUCCACCAGCUAUGUAGGAAUACCCUAUCUUGUUUAUAAGAGAUUUGAUACAUGCAAAAUAUUCGAACACAAUGUCCGAACAUAUAAUUUUUGCCCCGUAAUAUAGCAAAGAUCACGAAAAGGCCCGAAAAAGUACAUUAAGGUCAAAAUUUGGAGUAGAAAAAAAACACAAUAGAAG
rnacentral:sRNA from 1 species